AAUUUUGGACAAUGGGGUCCACCCUGAUCUAGCCAUCCCGCGUGUGCGAUGAAGGCCUUCGGGUUGUAAAGCACUUUUGGCAGGGAAGAAAAGGCGCCGGUCAAUACCUGGCGCCGCUGACGGUACCUGCAGAAUAAGCCCCAGCUAACUACGUUGCAGCAGCCGCGGUAAUACGUAGGGUGCAAGCGUUAAUCGGAAUUACUGGGCGUAAAGCGUGCGCAGGCGGUUCGGAAAGAAAGAUGUGAAAUCCCAGGGCUUAACCUUGGAACUGCAUUUUUAACUGCCGGGCUAGAGUAUGUCAGAGGGGGGUAGAAUUCCACGUGUAGCAGUGAAAUGCGUAGAGAUGUGGAGGAAUACCGAUGGCGAAGGCAGCCCCCUGGGAUAAUACUGACGCUCAUGCACGAAAGCGUGGGGAGCAAACA
rnacentral:rRNA from 1 species